AUGUCUUCCUCGUGGAGCUACAUCGAAUUCCUCCAUCUAUCUAACUAUGUAAUCACUUACGACUCCUCCUUCUCCUGGACGUCGCAAUCAACACACAGGAAAUCACUUUUGUUUAUCUUCUUCUAAUGCUUUGAGAAUACACGAUCGGAGAAAAUCGAUUCGAAGAAGUCUCGUCAAUCCGUAGUUGGAAAAAUUGAAAAAAUUGGGAUUCGGAGACUACAUCCCCUAACUUUGAAUUUUCCACCGGCUUACCACCAGACAUUAUUUGUUCGAGUUCACACAAAUUUCUACCGUCGGAGUCCAUUCUUCUUCUAUAUUGUAAGACAUAUUUAUUAUAUCUCUUAUUGGUUUGGCUGGUCCAUUGAUAACAAUAUGUUGCAGGGAUACUUCUUUCAACAAAUUUUCAGAUUAGUGACUAAGUCUG